GGCGGCUAGCGGCGGUGAGGCAGGCGCCUAAAUCCGGGUCCUUAGACGUUCGUCCGGGACGCAGCGCUCGCCGUCCAGCCGCGCUUCCCUCACACCUGCUGGCAUGCGUGUGGGCGCCCGUGCAGGUUCUUAAAAUGAAGAAGUUGAAUUUCCGAAAAGUUUUGGAUGGCUUGACUGCCUCCUCACCGGGCAGUGGCAGCAGCAGCGGCAGUAACAGCGGUGGGACUGGUAGUGGUCCCUUGCAUCCAGGAGGGACAGCUGGAGUUCUGAGAGAGGAGAUUCAGGAAACCUUGACUUCAGAAUAUUUCCAGAUUUGUAAGGGAACAUCUAUACUUGUGUGAGCUGUUCAGUGAGAAUCUGUAACCCACAGGACAGGCGGAGAGUUCAGCUAAGAAACAGCAGAAAACAGAAGACAAGACUGCAGUGAUAGACAAAGGUGGAUAUCAAGCCAAAUGCAACAGCACUGCAUGCUGUCGGGCAACAGCAAAGGAUCCCUUUGCAUGCAAAAAGAAAGUUGCACAAUAUGAAGGAAGCAGUAAAAAUGAAAUGAAGUAGAAGAGACAUGCAGAAAGAAAAAUGCUCUCGGAUAUGUCACAAUCAUCUUGAUUCUUUACCUGGAAAACCUGUAUUUUUUCCUUUGUAAUUAUCUAAUAUACUUUGUGUCAAAGAACAAGGACCUGAGUUCCACUUAAAGAAGAUGAAGAAGUUAACAGAUACCGUUCUCGGGUUUUAUCAUGAAAUUAGAAAUGAAAAUUUUCAGUUUCUAGUAGUCAUGAACAGAGAGCCUCAGGUAAGCCCGAGAGUGCAGGCAGACAGUCAGGAUGCUCCUGCGCAGGCUCCUCAGGUGCAGCUGUGCUGGUGGGAAAAAUCAUGCUGUUUAGCCUAACGAGGCAAAACAGAAUAAAGGCCAAGGUAAUUCAGUAGAGAGGGUCUUAAAUGCACAGCUGUGUCAGCUGCUGUCUCCUUCCCACCUGGUCUUCAUUUUUUCUCUGUGUAAUCUGUUUGCUUCCCUACUGGGCCUGCUAACAUUAUCUGAUUCCAGGCCAAACUGAUAAUAUUUGUUAUGAGGCCUGCCAAAAUUAAUAAAAUUUGAGUUCAUCAUCUUGGUGUUCCCUGAACUAAAGUUAACUACCUGUGUCAAAUCCUAAAGUCCACUUGUUACACCAGCAUCAGGCUAAGAUGUAAAUCUUCAUUUGAACUAAGGAACAGCUGCACUCCUCUUGAAACUCUACAUGCACAGAGAGAUGUUUGUUUGUAAGUGGAUACAAUAGACAGAGUGCCUAUUGGUGUUUUAAAAGCCAAAACCUGGAAUACUUUUCUGUUGACUUCACAUAUGGAGAAAAUUAUGGUGUAAAAUGUAGACAAGAAUAAAAUAAUACCAAGAUGAGUAAGUCCAUUAAAAAUGUAGAUGAGCAAAUGACUUUAGCGUUAUUAAUGCUGAUUGGGAAUUUGACUGGCCAAAUGAGCAUGUUUAUACUUGGGACCAAUUAAAAGGCUUACCAUUUUAAUCACUGGCAGAACUGGACAUUCAGUGUUUUCCUGGAUGACAAGAAUUUUCUUUUGUUGUUUUUUCAGUUUGGCUUUGUUUUGGUCUAGCAACUGCACCAGAGUGUCCUCAGUGUAGAGAAGAUAACAAUACACUACCACAGUGUUAGUAACAAUAUCUUGUUACUAACAUUUAGUAACAGUAUCUCAGAGUCUCUCUACAGCUUGAGGGGAAAACAUUGCUGCCAUUCCUACCCUGAGGAAAAUCUACAGUAACAGAAUGUUUCCAGAAGUAGAAAAAUCCUACCAGUUGGGAACCUCCACGUGGACCCGGCCUCUCAGCUUUUCCUGACUCCCCACCAGGGCAGCUGCUGUGUAGGAUCCGCUGUAACGUACCAACGGCACAGGUGGUGCAGUGCGUUGGGGCUGGACUCAUGGAGAAUGUUCUGGAGCUUCCCAAGAAGACCCCUCCAACAUUACUAGGCAAAAAGGUGGAUCAGGAAUACCCUCCUAAGCCCCGGGAACAGUUCCUCCUAAUAAUUAAAGAGACACACAUCUUUCAGCUCUGACUUUUUUUUAAUCAGCCUGAAAAGACCAGCUUUCAGAUUCCCAAAGAAAUUGCAAACACAUCUUUAAAAAAAAAUGUAAGUUCUGAUUCCACGUAGAGUGACUGAAUUGUUGAGUUACUCAGAAUU
ensembl:lincRNA